UCCUGCCCAAGGGAGUCAGCAAUUUCUGCCUGUGCCCUUCGCUCUUUCACUUUCACUUCACCACGGGGCGUAGACCUAGGAUGUCAGCUGAGGAAACUAAGGAUAAGAAGACCAGAAAGUAAAGCUUCGUUGUCAUCUAAAGAAGAUAAAUAUCUGGAAAGAAAAAGACAAUAGCAAAUGUCUUUGACAGACAUUUGGCAUUGAUUCCUAAAUCUAAAAUGUUCUCUUUGUUGAUGGAAAAGACCAGAACCUGAGUUUCAGUAUAUGGUUGGCUGGCAUCAAGACAGAAAUGCCAUGGUGGAAGGAAAGCUGUUAAACCUGCUGGAGGAAAGCUGUUAAAUCCCUGGCAUCCAGGAAGGAAAGAGAGCCAGGGAUAAGAAGGAACUUCCCUCACAAACUUUUGAUUCGGCCCCACAGCAUUUGUAAUGACUCCAGUGAAUGUGAACUCUUACCCAGUCACAUGGCGCUCCCAGCCUCAUAGGACCUGGCAGUUUCAAACCAGAUUUCCUCAACUGCUUUCUGACCCAGGUCAAGCAUCUGCUGCAAGGCUGUUCACAGAGUUUGACAAGCAGUCAGAGAUAAAGGGCCAAAUAUAAUGCUGAUUUCUCCCAUGUGCUAUAGGAUGGUGCAAACCAUGCUCAAGUAAUGCUGCACAAUGAGCCGCACAGCCAUGAACAUUGCUGAAACUCGCAAAAUUUAAACUACACAUUUCAGAAACUGGGAUGGAGCCCAGUUGAUUCAAACUACAGAAAGCAAAGUCUGACAGAAAUACAAUGGACAAUAUAUAAUCAAAGUGGUUUGUUAAUUCAUUUAUUUAGCAGUGCUGGGGAUAGAACACAUGGCCUUGCCAAUCCAUGAUGGACAAGCAGCUUGAGUUAGAAUGAAAUCUUUUUUAUUGUGGCUCACAAUAAUUUGACAGUUGUUACUGCCCGUAACCUAGCCUAGCUGAUAUGCACAGUGUUAUAUGGGUACAGACAAAGACAAAAAACAAAAACAAAAAAAAACAGGAGAAAACAGGACAGAAAUGUUGAUUCACCACAGAGGUGAUACUGCAAAACAGAGAGGAAGCUGGGCAUGGUGGUGCAUGCCUGUAAUCCCACCACUCUGAGUGGGAGGCUGAGUCAGGG